GCCCCGUUAGCUCAGUUGGUUAGUAGCAGCGAACUCAUAAUUCGUGGGUCGCGGGUUCAAGUCCCGCACGGGGCA
rnacentral:tRNA from 4 species